UCCCCACGACCUGCUGUGGUCCUGGGUGAGGAUCGCCUGGCUUGCAGAAGGAGUCUGAGGGGCAAAUUACCUUAUUUGGGGGAUGCGUGCCUCCCAGGCAUUGCACACGCUGGGACACCACGAUUGCUGGUCCAGAUGCUCAGCACGUCGGAUUCCCCAAGCCGAACCGGGCGCCCACCUGGAAGCGGGCCGGAGGGACGCAGGUCCGCAGCAGAGCCUGCUCCUUCCCCCGGAAUCGACGACCGCAGGGACAGCGCGAAUGCCCGGCCGGGUACAAGCAUUUGGUGUUGUCUCUGCAUUACC